UUAAAAUAUCAGAUGCAAAUUGUUUCUAUCAAGGAUACUUCCACAGGAUAAAAUGCUGACUUUGGCAGUACUUGUGUGUUCACAGAAAGCCCUGUAUGCAGCAAACCAUCAUGGGUGUGCAGCAGAAGAUCUGCACAUCAGCAGUGAAGAUCAUGAAGAACUCCUCAACAGCGCAGAACAGAGUUUGCAUUUAGGACGUGGGCAUCUACUGACACAGUUACUGCAAAGUUCAGAGAAGAGAAAGAAGCACCUUCUGUGGAUAUAUAGAAGCACUCUGAUACUGGCCUAUUAGGACUUCAAGUGUCUUAUUUGGCAGAUCUUUCAUGGACUUGAGAAUUGCAUCUCCUGAAAACUGUCAUCAGACUCAAGGCAUACUCUGAAAUUUCUCCAGACAAGUAGUUUCCAAAAUGGUACAUGGCUAGGAUGGAGCAACCUUGUCUUUUGCAGUGGAACAAAUAGCAUAUGAUUAAAAUUUCCAAUUAAUAUAAUGCUGUUUAUGUAAGUAUUAUAUACUUAUACAUACAUACAUAUUACAUACAUCUAUUUAGAUACUUAGUAUUAUGUACAUACAUACUUACUUGACUGGGAAAGGGUUUUUUUUUUUAUGGAUUUUGCAAUUCUUAUGGAUUUUAUAUUUUGAACUCUGCAGAAAUAAAUGUCAUGCAUUACACUUAUUUGAUGCGACU
rnacentral:lncRNA from 1 species